AAUGAAGUGCCUGAUUUUAAAAGGACUAUUUUGAUAGGGUAGAUCAUGUAAUUUUCGUUACCUUCAUUA
rnacentral:tRNA from 1 species